GACGAACGCUGGCGGCGUGCUUAACACAUGCAAGUCGAACGGAAAGGCCCCUUUGGGGGUACUCGAGUGGCGAACGGGUGAGUAACACGUGAGUAACCUGCCCUUGCCUUCGGGAUAACUUCAGGAAACUGGGGCUAAUACCGGAUAGGAAUCCUUGCUGCAUGGGGGGGGUUGGAAAGCUUCGGCGGUUUUGGAUGGACUCGCGGCUUAUCAGCUUGUUGGUGGGGUAGUGGCUUACCAAGGCUUUGACGGGUAGCCGGCCUGAGAGGGCGACCGGCCACAUUGGGACUGAGAUACGGCCCAGACUCCUACGGGAGGCAGCAGUGGGGAAUAUUGCACAAUGGGCGGAAGCCUGAUGCAGCAACGCCGCGUGCGGGAUGACGGCCUUCGGGUUGUAAACCGCUUUCAGCAGGGGCGAAGCUUGUGGUGACGGUACCUGCAGAAGAAGCACCGGCUAACUACGUG
rnacentral:rRNA from 1 species